AGAAAACUGUGAGGAUUCAAAAUGCUGCGAGGAAGAUUCAGAAUGCUGUGAAGAUUGGAUAGACAAUGCAGCUAUAGCUUUUAUAGCGAUUCCAUGUGUAGCUCUAGUUGCAUCUGUUGUCAUAUUUAUCCUGGUGAAGUUGGAUAAAAUUGGACCUGGCUGUAAUGAUGACAAAAAAUCUGCUCCCCUAUAGACUCCCUAUGGAGUGAUAAUGCAUGGAGAAAAAGACUUGAGCAAAAAUAAAAGAUGAACUUUACUUUUUUCAUUUUUGUCUUCUUUGUUGGAUUUUUUUUUGUUGUUGUUGAGUUUUUGAUAAAAGAUAUCUGGCUCAUCGUCUGUUUUCUGUUGAUUAUUCUCUCCUUAACAUACAUUUAAUUCUGCCUUUAUUAUUCUUUCUUGAAAUACUUGCUUUGAAUUUAUAGCUAAUUCUAACUGAAAAUUGGGAAUAAUUGCGGAGGUCAUAUUGCACUUUGUAUAUGUAUAUAUUUCACAUUACAUUCAUGUCCAAGAUAAAAGUUAUGUGCAGUAUAUCUUAAUUACAGUGGCCACCCUGUUAAUGCUUGUGUAUUGUCUUAGUGCAUGACUCAGUACAUAAGUGUUUCAAGCUAUGCAGCAUCUUGUAAUCCUUGUAUAAUGUUCACUCUAUUUAUAAGUCAUUUUAUAAUUACAGAUUUUGUUUUUUGUAUCACUUUAUAUGUCAGAGAUAAUGUCUAAAUACCCAUAAUUAUACUAUGUUGCUUGUUGCUCUAUUUAAGACUUAGGCUUGUAGAUUGUCACUUUGGUCCUGUGGAUUUUAAUUUAUGUUCAAUCAAAUAUAUUAGGAAGAAAAUGUAUGAAUUUAGAGCAUGAUACAGUAAGCUGUUUGUGUUUUAUAUUGAAAAGUUGGCAAGUAUGUAGCUAUGAGCUUUGAUUCAUAUGUUUGAUUUAGUCACCAAUAGCAUAGUGAGGUAUUAUAAUGGACUCCCUGUCCACUUAAAAGUUGUAAAUGUAAACAGAAUAUUUUCUAAAGUUAAAAAUGUUAAAGAUUAAGAACUUAACAUCAAACUACAUAAUGCCAGUAUAGAUCAUCUAUGUUGAAAUUCAUAACCAUUUUCCAUCAUUCAUAAUAAUAUCAAAUUUUGAGUACUCUCACAAUGUUGGUAUAUUUUCCAGGACAUUAAGUGUGCUCAAUAAAAGACUACAUCUUGAGUGACUGCACAGAGACAAAAUUUUUAUUGGACACAAAUGUUCCAUAUGGAGAACUGUGAAUUAAUUGUUAUUUUUUAAAUCAUUUUUUGUUUGUCUUGUAUGAAAAAAAGAACUAGUCAAGGCUUGUUUCUAAGAUAAAGUUUAAUCUAAGGUUACAUGUUUUUCAAAAAGUGAAAAGCUCAAAAUUUUAAUAUUGUCAGACUACCCUUCCAUGAAUAAGUAUGGUUUAUCAGUUAGCUAUACUGUGUUUUUAUGGCAUAUAAAAUUGUUGGUUUGUUGCAUGAUCUACUUUGGCUGGAUUGAAUCUGUUUCUAGUUAUCCUGGUCCUGUGUGACUGGAUAUUUGUUGGAAGAUGUAUUCCGUGAAUGUCCAUCUGCCUUGCUCAUCUCCUUUUUGUAGUUUGCUGUGGUACUAAUUCAUACCAAGUCAUGUGUAAUGUAAAAUUAAUUUGUUGUGAGUUUCAUAUUUAAAAUAUAAUAUUUGGGGGGAUUACAGUUUGAUAGUACAACAAUUAUUAAGUCUAACAGAAUAAUAAUUAAUUACCAUUUGAACAUAGUAUAUAGAACAUAGAAUAUAAUAACAGACAAAUAUACAGACGAUUAUAGUGUAUGGAUAAUACAAACAUGAUAAUCUGUGUGAAUGUUUAAAAAAAACAUAAUCAGCUGUUCUAGCAAAGAAGUUUGUGAUAAGUGUGUUCUGAAACUUGUUGCCAUCAACCUACUGUUGGGUAAUUUAGUGUAAUUAAUUAUAUGCACUCUAGUUUUAUAUAUAUAAUAGAACUCAUUUUGAAAAGACAAAAUGUAUAGCAGAUUAAGAAGUGAAACACGGAGUCUUUUCCAUAAAAAUGUAUUAAAUAUUAAUUUUAAACUUGAGACACACAGUAAUCAUAUAUAUCUUCUUUCUUGAUAAAGUAAUAACAUUAAUUUUGAAUAUUUUUGUGCUAUCAGAUGCUUAAUCUUUGUUAAAUAGGGAAAUAAUUUAAAUGUGAACAUGAAUAAGGAAAUAAUGUGAAUGUAGACUUAAAUAAGGAGAUAAUGUGAAUGUAAACAUGAAUAAGGAAAUACUGUGAAUGUAGACUUAAAUAAGGAGAUAAUGUAAAUGUAGUCUUAAAGAAGGAGAUAAUAUAAAUGUAGACUUAAAUUAUGAAGGAGAUAAAGUUAAUGUAGACUUAAAUAAGGAGAAAAUGUAAAUGUAGACUUAAAUAAGGAGAAAAUGUAAAUGUAGACUUAAAUAAGGAGAUAAUGUAAAUGUAGUCUUAAAGAAGGAGAUAAUAUAAAUGUAGACUUAAAUUAUGAAGGAGAUAAAGUUAAUGUAGACUUAAAUAAGGAGAAAAUGUUAAUGUAGACUUAAAUAAGGAGAAAAUGUAAAUGUAGACUUAAAUAAGGAGAUAAUGUAAAUGUAGUCUUAAAGAAGGAGAUAAUAUAAAUGUAGACUUAAAUUAUGAAGGAGAUAAAGUUAAUGUAGACUUAAAUAAGGAGAAAAUGUUAAUGUAGACUUAAAUAAGGAGAAAAUGUAAAUGUAGACUUAAAUAAGGAGAUAAUGUAAAUGUAGACUUAAGUAAGGAGAUAAUGUGAAUGUAGGCUUAAAUAAGGAGAUAAAGUUAACAUAGAACAAGCUUCAAUUUUUUAUGCUGCAUAUUAUCAUAGGUCAGUCUGCCUCUCUCAUGCUAGAGUUAUUAAAAUGAAGUUGACACAAUUUGUAGAUCUUCACAUUUUAUACAUUAAGUGUGGUUGUAUUUUGUCACAAAUUUUAUAAAUCUUUACAUUUUAACAUCUGUGCAGAACAAAAAAUGAGAGCUUCUUGUGUGUGAUAUUAUACCAUAUACUGUAAUAAUUAUUCAGACAAGCCAAUAAACUGGUACACUGAUGUACUAAUUUUUUCAGCUUACAAAGCUAAGGAAGCUAAAGAGCCAGGCGAGAAUCACGGGAUGACGGGAACAUCUAUGUAAAUAAAGACCAGAGGGAGAAAAAAGCAGUGUAUUUAGUCUAAUGGAAAAGUCAUCGUUCUACUAUGUCGGAUAAAAGACAUCAAACUUUAUCUUGGCUCUCUUUUUUUUACAAAAGACAUUAAACUUUAUCUGUGCUUUUUCUUCAAAUAUGUAUGGAAUAUUUAGUUCUGUUUCAAAACAUUUUCUUUUCUUUUCACAGUAUGAAUAAUGUUCUUACUUUAAUAUCUAACUUUACUGUGAGAACAAAAUCAUGAUUUUUUUUUUAUUUCUUUCAAAUGUACAGACUUUAAUAUAACAGCAAGAAUAAAAAGUGAAUGAAUUUCUUAAAUUUGGUUAUUAGUCCCUUAACCAGAGUUUGCCCUAACUCUCAUAUGGAUAUCUAGGAUGGUUAUGAGAACACAGUAGGGAACAAUUAAUCUAUUUAUUAUGGAUAGUAAUUCUUUAAAAAGAUCAAUGGUGUAAACAAAAGGGUAGCCACUUGGGUAAUUAUUUGUGAGGCUGCGCAUCUUGGCCAAUUGCUGUUUGAAAUUCUAAAAUGUUCCUGCUGUAACUUAUCACCAUUAUUGAUGUACUUGAGUAUGUGAGGAAAUAUCAAUAUAGAGAUUAUGCAUAUGAACUUUUUUUUCUUUGACUGUCACAAUAGAAAUAGCAAUAAUCAAAAGUUACACUUCAAGAGGUGAAUGUAAGGAGUAUUUCAUUGUACAUGAGACAAUGUGCAAAUAUAUUGAGUAUGAAGUGGUGUUGCUGUUAACUAAAAUAUGGACUUUGAUUGUCUGAAGGAAAAUUGGAAGGGGACCUUAGCAGAAGUUCUGGAUGUGUACACAAGUGCUUUGUUUAUUGGCUUGUCUGAAAUGGACAUAUAAUUUGGAUAUUGAUGUUUUAUCAUUUAAUCUGCCUGGCACAGUAUUGAAAUGUGUUUUCUU